AAGAAAAUGUGGGAAGACUGCUUGCCUCAUAUUGAGUUUGCUUAUAAUCGUUCAUUGCAUUCUACUACUAAGAUGUGCCCUUUUGAAAUUGUGUAUGGUUUCCUACCUCGUGCACCUAUUGAUUUGUUGCCUCUUCCAUCUUCGGAGAAGGUUAAUUUUGAUGCUAAACAACGUGCUGAAUUGAUCUUAAAAAUGCAUGAGUUAACUAAGGAAAAUAUUGAGCGUAUGAAUGCUAAAUAUAAACUUGCUGGAGAUAAGGGUAGAAAACAUGUUGUGUUUGCACCUGGAGAUCUUGUUUGGUUACAUUUGCGUAAGGAUAGAUUUCCUGAUUUGCGCAAAUCAAAGCUAAUGCCACGUGCUGAUGGUCCUUUUAAGGUGUUAGAGAAAAUAAAUGAUAAUGCAUAUAAACUUGAGCUGCCUGCAGAUUUUGGGGUU
rnacentral:rRNA from 1 species